rnacentral:piRNA from 1 species
UAUGUGUGCGUCGCAUCGAAU